UGAGGAAUAUUGGUCAAUGGACGGAAGUCUGAACCAGCCAAGUAGCGUGCAGGAAGACGGCCCUAUGGGUUGUAAACUGCUUUUAUGCGGGGAUAAAGUGGGCUACGUGUAGCCUAUUGCAGGUACCGCAUGAAUAAGGACCGGCUAAUUCCGUGCCAGCAGCCGCGGUAAUACGGAAGGUCCGGGCGUUAUCCGGAUUCAUUGGGUUUAAAGGGAGCGUAGGCCGCCUUUUAAGCGUGUUGUGAAAUGUAGACGCUCAACGUCUGCACUGCAGCGCGAACUGGUUUCCUUGAGUACGCACAAAGUGGGCGGAAUUCGUGGUGUAGCGGUGAAAUGCUUAGAUAUCACGAAGAACUCCGAUUGCGAAGGCAGCUCACUGGAGCGCAACUGACGCUGAAGCUCGAAAGUGCGGGUAUCGAACAGGAUUAGAUACCCUGGUA
rnacentral:rRNA from 1 species